GCAACUCUUUUCACAAAGGUACUGCUCUAGUUUACUUAACUAGAAGACAAUGCCCAUCUUUUACCCCUGAGAUGUUGAUUAAAUGGGAACAUCAUAAAUCUUUGUUCUUCCCUUGCAGAAGUUAAAGGAGGCACUCUCCCAAAAUCUAACCUGGCUGAAAUAUCAAGGAAAGAAAAUCAAUACAUUGAAAGCCACCUCUAGGGUUUUGCAGAUAAAAGAGGCUGGUGAUUUUCCAUCUUUGGUGAAGAUAUGGAAGAAGAAAUGAAAUGGAUAUGAAGUUUGAUAAAACUGUCCAAGUUCAAUCUAUGGUAAAUUGAAAAACUCUUGUCUAUGCUAAGGGUAAAAGGUUAGUGUAUAUUUGUUGUAUUAUAUUUGUUGUAUAGCGUCCGUUUUCACUUUUCUCUGGAAACAGUGACUUGAUUUUAUGUAAAAUAAUACUGUUCUGUUCCUCAAUCUCAAAGGACAUGAUCACCUUUGCUCACAGUGAUGGGCUGAGGCAUAAACCUGAUCCAAGUUACCCAUCUGAGCUAUGACUUUUGCUAAAGCUAAAUGU
ensembl:lncRNA